rnacentral:tRNA from 1 species
GCCUGGGUGGUGGAAUGGUAGACACUGGGGACUUAAAAUCCCCUGCCCGUAAGGGCGUGUGGGUUCGAGUCCCACCCCAGGUA